GUAAAAAUCGAAAUUAAAAUCUACAUUCGAAAUGAUUAUAAAAGGGAACAUAGAAACAAAUAACUAAGACGUAAGGAUAUGCAAACACACACACGAGUAAAAACUUCUUGGAUCGCCCUGUAAAAUGAUGUGACGCUCUCCGUUAGAUGGGCAGGGGGAAACGACACUUCAUACAGACUUGCCACUACGAAUCACAAGCAGUCACAAUUUCAACACAUUCCGGCUCAAAUUUGAACCACUGAAUAAAAAAUGGCCAUUCUUAACGGACAGCGUACAUCUUUUGACGGGCUUCUCUUUCUCACACAACUUUGUCUUAUUGAAAGACUUUCACACGAUUUAAAUAUUGU